rnacentral:rRNA from 1 species
CGCCCGGGGCGCGCCCCGGGCGGGGCGGGGGCACGGGGGGAACGCGAAGAACCUUACCAGGUCUUGACAUCCCGAUGCUAUUUCUAGAGAUAGGAAGUUACUUCGGUACAUCGGUGACAGGUGGUGCAUGGUUGUCGUCAGCUCGUGUCGUGAGAUGUUGGGUUAAGUCCCGCAACGAGCGCAACCCCUAUUGUUAGUUGCCAUCAUUCAGUUGGGCACUCUAGCGAGACUGCCGGUAAUAAACCGGAGGAAGGUGGGGAUGACGUCAAAUCAUCAUGCCCCUUAUGACCUGGGCUACACACGUGCUACAAUGGUUGGUACAACGAGUUGCUAGUCGGUGACGACGAGCUAAUCUCUUAAAGCCAAUCUCAGUUCGGAUUGUAGGCUGCAACUCGCCUACAUGAAGUCGGAAUCGCUAGUAAUCGCGGAUCAGCACGCCGCGGUGAAUACGUUCCCGGGCCUUGUACACACCG